rnacentral:rRNA from 1 species
AGAGUUUGAUCAUGGCUCAGAACGAACGCUAGCGGCGUGCCUAACACAUGCAAGUCGUACGAGAAAUCCUGGGCAACUGGGAGAGUAAAGUGGCGCACGGGUGAGUAACGCGUGGGUAAUCUACCUUGGAGUUCGGAAUAACACCUCGAAAGGGGUGCUAAUACCGGAUAUCGUCCCAGGGGUUUCGGCUCCGGGGAUGAAAGAUGGCUGAGGCUUGCAAGCUAUUGCUCCAAGAUGAGCCCGCGUACCAUUAGCUAGUUGGUGGGGUAACGGCCCACCAAGGCAAUGAUGGUUAGCUGGUCUGAGAGGAUGACCAGCCACACUGGAACUGAGAUACGGUCCAGACUCCUACGGGAGGCAGCAGUGAGGAAUCUUGCGCAAUGGGGGCAACCCUGACGCAGCAACGCCGCGUGAGUGAUGAAGGCCUUCGGGUCGUAAAGCUCUGUCAGGCGGAAAGAAUGUUUUCAGGGUGAACAAUCCUGGAGAUUGACGGUACCGCCAGAGGAAGCACCGGCUAACUCCGUGCCAGCAGCCGCGGUAAUACGGAGGGUGCUAGCGUUGUUCGGAAUUAUUGGGCGUAAAGAGCGUGUAGGCGGCCUCGUAAGUCAGAUGUGAAAGCCCUUGGCUUAACCAAGGAAGUGCAUUUGAAACUGCCUGGCUUGAGUACGGGAGGGGAAAGCGGAAUUCCCGGUGUAGAGGUGAAAUUCGUAGAUAUCGGGAGGAACACCGGUGGCGAAGGCGGCUUUCUGGACCGAUACUGACGCUGAGACGCGAAAGCGUGGGGAGCAAACAGGAUUAGAUACCCUGGUAGUCCACGCCGUAAACUUUGGGCACUAGGUGUUGCGGGUAUUGACCCCUGCAGUGCCGAAGCUAACGCAUUAAGUGCCCCGCCUGGGGAGUACGGUCGCAAGACUAAAACUCAAAGGAAUUGACGG